rnacentral:misc_RNA from 1 species
GGAAGUAGAAGUCGUAACAAGGUUUCUGUAGGUGAACCUGAGGAAGGAUCAUUAUUGUAUAACCGAGGUGCGAGGGCUGUCGCUGACCCGAAAGGUCGUGCACGCCCGAGUGCCCUCACACACAUCCAUCUCACCCCUAUGUGCACCACCGCGUGGGUCCCCCUUUGGCUUGUUCGGAGGGGGGCUUACGUUUUCACACAAACUUUGUAUGCAGUGUAGAAUGUAUUUUUUGUUUUUGCGAUCACGCAAUCAAUACAACUUUCAACAACGGAUCUCUUGGCUCUC